CUGCGUUGAUGAUUUUAGAGUUUUCUGACUUGGUAAAUUUGCCCCACGGGGUCGCCUCUGACCAGGAAGUGACCACAGUUAAUCUUCUCUCUGAGCGG